UUUGCGCAGGAUAGGUGGGAGGCUUUGAUCAUAUUUUUGCGGAAUUAUGUGAGCCGUUGGUGAGAUACCACUCUUGUAAAGCUAGAAUUCUAACCUUGUAUCGUAAGCAGGUCAGGGAACAGUUUCAGGUGGGCAGUUUGACUGGGGCGGUCGCCUCCUAAAAGGUAACGGAGGCGCACAAGGUUUCCUCAUAUCGGUCAGAAAUCGAUAGUAGAGCGUAAAGGCAUAAGGAAGCUUGACUGCGAGACCUACAAGUCGAGCAGAGACGAAAGUCGGUCUUAGUGAUCUGACGGUUCCGAGUGGAAGGGCCGUCACUCAACGGAUAAAAGCUACUCUAGGGAUAACAGGCUGA
rnacentral:rRNA from 1 species